rnacentral:rRNA from 1 species
GGACUACCGGGGUAUCUAAUCCCGUUCGCUCCCCACGCUUUCGUGCCUUAGUGUCAGGAACAAGCCAGUACCCUGCCUACGCCAUCGGUGUUCCUCCUAAUAUCUACGGAUUUCACUCCUACACUAGGAAUUCCAGGUACCUCUCUCGUCCUCUAGCUGAGCAGUUUUGAUAAUGUGUAUUCGGUUGAGCCGAACGCUUUCACUACCAACUUACUCUGCCACCUACGCAACUCUUUACGCCCAGUAAUUCCGGAUAACGCUUGGAUCCUCCGUAUUACCGCGGCUGCUGGCAC